GAUAAAAGAAUCAUAAUUAGCUAUGAAAAGCACAGAGCAGAACUAUAUCACCCACAAUAAAUCAAAAGGCCUCAGUACAGCCCACACCACAAACACCUGGUACUAAUAAGGAUAUUUAAUCUUGCACAACUUUGUAGUUAUAAUUCAGAACCUUAUGUCCUGACCAUCCCAUUCAUAUUCUAGUUAUACUUCAUCUUUAAACUGAAGAGAUUUUGUAUAAACAAUAUAUAGCUGAGGCUAUCUACCACCAAGCAGCUUUUUAAAAUGAGGAAAACAGCUUUUAAGAAUUAAAAAAAAGAGGGCCCGGGCGACGGCAAUGGUGAAGAGGCCCGGGGACCUAAACCUGCCCAACGCCGUCAUCACCAGGAUCAUCAAGGAGGCGCUCCCGGACGGGGUCAACAUCUCCAAGGAGGCCCGGAGCGCCAUCUCCCGCGCCGCCAGCGUCUUCGUGCUGUAUGCCACGUCCUGUGCCAACAAUUUUGCAAUGAAAGGGAAGCGCAAGACUUUGAAUGCCAGUGAUGUGCUCUCCGCCAUGGAAGAGAUGGAGUUCCAGCGAUUCGUUACCCCGUUAAAAGCAGCUCUGGAAGCACAUAGGCGGGAGCAGAAGGGCAAGAAGGAAGCUUCAGAACAAAAGGACAAAGACAAAAAAAACAGAUUCAGAAGAGCAAGACAAGAGCAGGGAUGAGGACAACGAUGAAGAUGAUGAAAGGAUGAAAGAAGAAGGACAAAAUGAAGAGGAAGUGGACAACUGAAUAGGGUGGGCGACUGUGGCACCUUGGAAGGUACCAUUCUGAGACUUGCUACAUGUUUCUCUGAAGGUUUUCCCUGCGGGGGCAGAGUAGUCUUAGGCAGAAGUGCCUUAGAAGAUGAAAAUAAAAAAUGACUAGAAUUGUCACCAAAACCAGCACUUCCCAAACUCAAAGCAUCUGAGUAGCAGAAUCC